GAGAGAUUCAUUCGUAGUUACUGGUUUAUGAGAGCAGCAAAAUCACAAGAGGACUUACUCUUGAUUCCCUGUUCCUGCUAGAGAGCCUUCUGUUGGAGAGAACAAGAAAGGGAUUCUGCGAGGUUGAGCGGGCACAGAUGCCCUGAAUGUGAGGCAAUGGUUUCCCUUUAGUGGAGCGGAUGCAAAAAGUGGAAGCAAAUCUGCGUUAUGCAAAGGAAAUAAACUGUCC
rnacentral:lncRNA from 1 species